GGAGCGCAGGCGNUCAGGAAAGUCUGGAGUAAAAGGCUAUGGCUCAACCAUAGUGUGCUCUGGAAACUNUCUGACUUGAGUGCAGAAGGGGAGAGUGGAAUUCCAUGUGUAGCGGUGAAAUGCGUAGAUAUAUGGAGGAACACCAGUGGCGAAAGCGGCUCUCUGGUCUGUCACUGACGCUGAGGCUCGAAAGCGUGGGUAGCGAACAGGAUUAGAUACCCUGGUAGUNCACGCCGUAAACGAUGAGUGCUAGGUGUUAGGCCCUUUCCGGGGCUUAGUGCCGGAGCUAACGCAAUAAGCACUCCGCCUGGGGAGUACGACCGCAAGGUUGAAACUCAAAGGAAUUGACGGGGGCCCGCACAAGCGGUGGAGCAUGUGGUUUAAUUCGAAGCAACGCGAAGAACCUUACCAGGUCUUGACAUCCCGAUGCUAUUCUUAGAGAUAGGAAGUUACUUCGGUACAUCGGAGACAGGUGGUGCAUGGUUGUCGUCAGCUCGUGUCGUGAGAUGUUGGGUUAAGUCCCGCAACGAGCGCAACCCUUAUUGUUAGUUGCCAUCAUUAAGUUGGGCACUCUAGCGAGACUGCCGGUAAUAAACCGGAGGAAGGUGGGGAUGACGUCAAAUCAUCAUGCCCCUUAUGACCUGGGCUACACACGUGCUACAAUGGUCGGUACAACGAGUUGCGAGCCGGUGACGGCAAGCUAAUCUCUGAAAGCCGAUCUCAGUUCGGAUUGGAGGCUGCAACUCGCCUCCAUGAAGUCGGAAUCGCUAGUAAUCGCGGAUCAGCACGCCGCGGUGAAUACGUUCCCGGGCCUUGUACACACCGCCCGUCACACCACGAGAGUUUGUAACACCCGAAGUCGGUGAGGUAACCUUUUAGGGGCCAGCC
rnacentral:rRNA from 1 species